CCCUGGGUCACAGUGGAAAAGUCCGGCCCAGUGAUAAGGCCCAGAGCCGCCACCCUUCUUCCUGCAGUGGGCGCAAUGGGCCAGGGCCGUCCCCCAAUCCGGCUGGGCUGAGUCAUGUGGGCAGGCAGGUGGAAAAUCCCAGCUGGGGACAGGCACCGCGUCUUCUGGGUCCUCAUACAGCUCACCCCCUGGUCUCCUGCUCCCCCCAGCUCUCCAGAGAUGGCAGAACCUCAAGGAGGAGCCAGCUGUGUGAGCCACUGGGGCCAAGAGAGAGGCCACCACAGCGGUACAAAGGGCCACUUUACUGUCCUGUGCAGCAGGGACGUGGCUCUGGCACUCAAGAGCAAGGACAAUGGCAAGUGUCUUCACAGCCUCGUGAGGAGCUGGAAGCAGGCAACUCAGCCAGAGAUGACCCAGGUGGCUGCCUCCUGGGACCGGCGGACACCAGGCCAGUCCACGUGGCUCUCGCCAGUGCGCCCCAGCUUGUGCUAAUGCAGACACUGGGCACUCGUGAGUGAAGGAGUGUGCGGGCGUCCACUCCGGUAGGUGCAGGGCCCGCCCCGGCCCCUGCCCACCCAGAUUAUUAGGGAGCAGACUCCGAUCUGGGAUUGCUCCUCCUGCAGAGCUGCACCUCUCUCCAAACAACACACAGUGCUGCUGUCACGCUCAGCAGGACGAGGACUCCGGGCGGCUUCCUGGCACCUCGGUGUGCAUGGCCCAGUGCUCCCUGUCUCAACUGGCUUGAGGUCUCCUUGCUUCACUUCUCUCCUUCCCCCACGUGUGUGUUUGGUCGACGAAACCUGCGUCCAGAGCGCACAGACGUCCCUGCCUUCGCUGUGGGUGCCGUGGCCUCGUGCCAUUGGAGCUGACCCGGCUCCCAGGUCCUGUCUGCAGGUGUGCCUGCUCAGCACAUUUACACCAGCGGACCACGCAGCGUGGGCCUUGCGUCCAGCUUCCAGUCCACUGCAGCCAGUCUGGGCAGGUGACCACCAUUGCACGGACACUGGGUGCUUCCUCUGAAGUCACUGGCCACUGAGAGGAGGCCCUCAUCACCUGGACCACGAAUCCACAGGGAGCAUGAGUUUGACGUCCUCCCUGUAUCAGGCCUUUCCCUGUGUGAGGUGGAACCCUUCCACCCAUGCGUCUGCCCCUGCCCCUCCACGCUGCCCUGAGGUACAGUCCUGCCUUCACACUACUCGCUUCCAAAGCCCCCAUGGCCGGGAGUGGCUCGGGGGUAGAACACGUGCCCAGCAGGCCAGGCUCCUGGUCUCCGUCCCCAGCACAGGGCAGGCACCCGUGGCUUGGUUCCCGGAGCUUUGGCUUGGGGGUUCUGGGGCUCACUGUGAGCUCAGCACAGCAGACGUUGCGGUUGUCACCCUCAGGACCCCUCAGUCCCCUUGGGACUCCCAAGCCCUCCACUGAGCGUCUGAGGGCUCCCAACUCUAUUUCACCAGACAGGCCAUGCUGAACUCCAGGUGGCCUUGUGGCAGGUCCACCCUGUCCUCCCCUCGCCCCGCCUCUCCUCGUCGGGAACCUCCCUGCCCUAUCCCUGGCUGCUCCGUCCCAGUUCACCCCAGGGUGCUGCAAACGUUCUCCUGUGCAUGGAUCAUAUUCUUGUCAAGAAGAGAAAGAACGGAAGGAGCCUGUUCCACUGCGGGUGGGUCAGCUGCGGAGGCUGCCCCCUCAGGGUCUGUUAGAGGAGUCUUUUCUUGACUCUGGUUGGUUCUGCGUGCAUCGAACUUGUGGGCCUCACAUCGUCACCAAAUGAGACUCGGCCCACCCUCUCUGGUCCAGGAUUGUGCAGCACCCUGAGCAUGCUGGAGUCUGGCCCAAACAGUCUGCUGACAUGAAAACCUGACGGGAAGCAGGAUCCAGCCCUGGCGCUUCCCUCCCGGCUCUGGCUGUGAGUCCUCGGGCCUUGCUUCUGCUGCAUGCCACUCAGCAGCUGCGCCACACACUAGGGACUCGUCUCUCUGUGAGCCCGCUUGGUCAGCCCGGCAACAGGGACCAAGGACUCCCACAGGUGCCCCCUCUGAAGCCUGUGUUAAAACUGGCCCAGUGGCCUCCAUGUAGAAGCAGUGGGCAGCGUGUGCCCCGGAGGAGGCCGGGCCUUCCUUUCUGAAAGCCCCCGGGUGCUCUCAUGGUCAGCCAGAGCCCAAGGCUGAGAACAGGGACCCUGAAGGCAAAACUGGCACACUUCCUGUCCGGCUUUGUUUGAGCGGCUAAGAAAUGGUGUACCAAGGCCAGGAGCUUGGGUUCCAGGGUUGGCAGGCUGGCCUGUGGGGUCGGGGUCAUGGGGGCAUCCUGUGCAUCCCAUGCGCCACGCAGACCUUAUAGCCGUUCAGACAGGACAAGGACUGAAACUCCCCGCCUCAGGGUCACGCCCCUCCCCGGCCCACUGCCCCUCUGUGUACUGUAGCCUGGGUCCACGUCUCCCGAGGGUGGCCUCAGGGGCCUGGGGUGAGCAUGGGGCGGACUGCUGGCGGCUCCAGAGCCUCGAGCCAGCCCUCAUCUAAGGUCCUUGACUCCUCGAGGCCUCAGUUCUCCUGGCUGGAAAAUGAAGGAGCUGGACUCUAAAGUCUCUGUCUCUGCUAACACCUUCUGAAGUUUUCCACUUGUGUCCUGAGAACCCGGGGUACCCGGCAGCUCAGAGAGCCCAGGGGCUGAUCCUGGCAGGGGUGUCACUCCCUUUCUGCUGGUGUUGGACCCUGUGAAGUCCUCGAGUCCCUGUCACUAGCCUCUGGGCAAUGCUUUGUGGGAUCUGGUCAAGCCUGAGCCUCGUUAGGGCCCUCAUUGGAGUCCCUGGGGCAGUGCCUCUCUGAGCCAGCAGAGGGCGGCAGUGCCCCAGCUGAGCCCAGCCAGGCCUAGGGAGAGGCCAAGGUGUCCCACUGCGUGCACUGAAACUUCCGGAGACUGGGACUCCCCUGAGCCAGAGGAGCCAGGAGGUCUCGGAUUGGCUGUGUCCCCCACCGCCCUGGCUGGGCACCCUAAGGUCCCAGAAAGCUAGCCUGGAGGGGAGCUGGGCCUCGGCAUCCUCCUGCAGUCCCCGGGUAGGUGGGGGUGGCGCCGGGUGCAAGGCUGGGGAGGCCCUAGUGUGGCAGGUGCUCAAGUGCCUGGGGGAGCCAUAGGCAUGAGUCCCUUUCCCUGCUUCCCACUGGCUGGCCACUCGGGGUUGCUCUGGGGCCCUGCUCCCAGGCUGGCGGCCUGGUGGACAGGUCCCCUCUGGACACUAGUGUGGCUGGGGUCUGGGGUCGUGUCUUCCCAGCUGGGACUCCUGCCCUGGCAUCUCUGGGUGGGAUGGGGACCAGUUUCAAAGGCAGAUUCUGUCCCCACCCAGGCCCAUGGGGGUGGGCUCCCAGGGGUGGCCGGGAGCUGCAGACUUAGCUGCAUCCAUGCAAGUCUGAAGGCCCGAGUCUGCGACCCCCAUGGGCUCAGCUCAGAGCCCUCCGCAUCCCACUCCCCCGAGCCCAACCUACACCCUGGUUCAUCUGGCUCAGCCCUGGAGCUUUGAGCCAGGGUGCCUCACACACCUGCCCUCAAGUGCUCUGCCCACCGAGGCGGGGACCCCCGCAGGGCAAGGUCCUUCCGUGAGUUUCAGGUCUUGUUCCCAUCUGGUUCUGUCCCUCACCUGAGGGCUCCUGUUUGCCGACAGUGACAGCCCCAUUGGCUGGCGGGGUCUGGUCUGCAGGUGAGAUGCACGCGGCCAAGUCCCCCAGGAGCAGCCUGAGCUGAGCCGUCCCCCAGGUCCCGCCUGCGCCUUGAGCUCACAGGUUCAGAACAGAACUGUGGCCUCGGCAGCCGGAGUCUGGCAAGCCCGAGGCUGGGCGGGACUUGAAGGAACCCUAACAGCUGUGGCAGAAGGGACGCCCUGUCUGGAUGUACCCUGAUUCUGAUCCUCGCAACCAGCCCCCGAGCCGGCAGCUCUUCCUCGGCCGCGCAGGCUCCUGGAGCAGAGGCAGGGCCCCGAGACCCAGCUGGCGAGUGGGAGGGCUGGGUGCCGUGCCCCCCUUCCCGAGUUCAUGCUGACCAGCACCCCCACACACAGCUGGCAGAGGGGGUCUUGGUUGGGUUUUUGUUGUUAAAACAUUGAUUUGGUUUUAUUGUCAUAAGGCACACGGGACAUAGAAUCUACCCUCUGCCCGGUUUUGAGUGUUUGGGUCUCCCACCUGUCGGGGCUGUCCUCCCUGGCCCCCAGGUUUGCCAGGAAGUCCAGGUGCCCACAGGUUUGCAAGAGGAUUCAGGAGAAGUUAGUUGAAGUGACCCCCAGGACACAAGCAGCAGGGGCAGAAAAGUAAGUCCGCAGGCCAGGGAGAGACUGACCAGCUGCCUGUCCUGCCCUUUGCUUUGAGCUAGAAGCUCCUGAGUCCUGGGCCCUCGGGAGAAGCAGGUGCUUCUUUGCCUGUGUCCCAUUUGUGGCCAGUGUGUGAGGGCUGGGACCCCACGCAUGUCCCUAGGAGGGUCUCAAAGUGGCGGGGGGGGGGUGCUGUCAGGAGAGAGCUCCUCUUUGCUGUUGGUAAUACAGGGGGGACAGAGAGAUCUGACUUGUGGAUUUCAUAAAUCACAACUGUUUUAGCUCCGAGGGAUGCAGAUUGAUUAAGGUCUGAGCGUCGAGCCCUGUAUGGAUUGGGAGCCCAUCUCUCGUAAGCCCUCUCUUUCCCAGACCCGAGUGUCAGCAGUUUUCCGGGAAAGCAAUCUUUUUAUGUGGCAUCAUCGUGUGGAUUACUGGAACGAGGCUUGCUGGCGGGGCUGCUGGGGCUGGGCCUGGGGGCAGGCAGGAAGGAGGUGGCUGAGCCCGUGUGUGCUCGGCCUGGCUGGGCUCCUGCAGACCUGGCCAGGGCAUCCUGACCCUCCUGUGGUCCCUGGGGAGUCAGGCCUGGUCCUUCUGUGGCCUCUUGACUGGGGCUGCGCCUCCUCCUGCGGCUGUUCCUGGUGCCGUGGCCGGGUCUGCUCUGAUGCCUGGCACGCCCCGGGAAGCAGGCUGUAGAGUGAGGGGUGAAGACUGCCCAUGACUCCACGCCCAGCACCACCCUCGUGGGACCCUCUGAACCCACGGUGGAGCUGGUGGGUGCUUCCCUGAGUCACUGGGGAGAGGACGAGGCAGCCCUGGCCCCACUCCUGGCCGUAGCCCCGCCCUCCAUGGCAGGACAUCACGUUUCCACCCCUCACCUGGGACCUCGUGGUGGAAGAGCCUCUGUCCUGGUCCCCAGCGUGCACUUGGCUCGUGACUCCCGUUGGCCAACAGGAUUUUGCAGUGGUGACUGUGCAAAGGCUGUGCUGCGUCACUGUCAGGAGAAGAGCUGGCCCUGCUGGGACACCCGCGGCCUGGGGCUGGUGGGCCACCCCCACCCCAACUGACCCAGGGAUGCAGAAAGAGAAGGACAUGCUUCCAGGGACUGCUGCUGUCCCCUGGUGUCCCUUCUGGCCACACCACUCCCACACCCUGCUCCUCCCUCCCGGGUCAGCUCAGACGUCACCUCCUCCAGGAAGCCCUCCUGUUGGGCCUGUCUCCUCUCACGGCUCUUGCCAGGCUGCAUGAGGGGGACCGUUGCAGUGGAGGCAGCCCCUCUGAGGAGGCCCCUUGCUCUGAGGGCCGGGACCAGAGCCCCAUUUGCCCUGAGACCCGUCCCUGGGCCCUGCCCAAGGGUGAGCUAGAGAAAGCCAGUGGCCCCUCUGGCUGCCCUGCGGCGGGUGCUCACAGUCCCCUCCUCCUCCUGGAUGGCUGCCUGAGCCCUUCGUCCUGGGGGGUGGCGGACGCACGGCAUUGCCACCCUGGGGCUCUGCUGGUCCUGUGGGUCUUCUGGGUGUCCCCGGCUCCCUUUAUCCUCUGGCCCUGGGAUUGGUGAGGAGGAGCUGGCCUGGUCCACAGAGGGCCUCCUGCAGCCGCUGCGCUGAGCCUGCCUCCUGGCCCUGAUCGCCGCGCCCUCGUUCCACAGGCCUGUCGUCAGGCGACCAAGGAGCCCCGGCCUGCGUCCUGGGGCAGCUCCACCCAGUCCCCGGGGUCCCUGCCACAGCCCUCCAUACUGCCUCUCUGCACCCUCCUGUGGUCUUCUGGACCUGGGGGCCCCUGUCUCUGGUGUCCCAGCCCUGCGGGAGGAGCCUCUCACCCACCUCCAGCACCAUGCGCCCAACCCUGGGCUACCCGCAGCCCGCCAGCCCUGUCUGAAUCACGGGGGUCCCCGAGCAAAACAGGGACUGCCACCUCCUCCAGAGCACAGCAGACACAGCUUCUCCUGGCCCAGGGCAUCGAGCCCUGAUGGCCUGAGAGCGGGUGACAAGCAGGUGUCUUCCUGAGCUUUACGAGCUGCUCAGCCUGCGCUCAGAAGGGAGCGCGGGAGGUGGUGACGCAGGCUGCAGUCGCUUCCAGGCGAUAGAGAGGAGUGGAUCUGGCCUGGUCCGCAGGCAGGCCCCACACGGGGCUGAGUGACAGUGCCUUCUGAGUCUCAUCUGCGAUAUGGGCGAGAACCCUGGGAGCACCCUCUGCGUGAGGCCGGUUAUAAUCCAUCAGAAGCUUGUUUUCGGAGGUGACAGCCUGCUGCUCCCCGGAAUGCCAUUUAAGGAGCACGCCAGAUGGCUUGAUAUUAGCUGGACAGCAACAGACACAGUGGCCCUGUGGUCCCCAGCCUGUGACAGCAGGGUGGAAGGGGCUGGGAUCCUGGAUGGGGGACAGCUGGGAGAAGCCACUCGUGACACUGAGGAGGCUUCCAGGCCAGAGCCUUCGCUGGGGCCAGGGUCCUGCUCAGUAGGGGACAGGCUCUGGGUCAGCUGUUCCUGCCCAGGCAGUCUCAACAUCAAAGCUACGGUGACGGUCCAUGUCCACCCAUCACGCUGACCCCUGUCGGGCGCAGGCUCCCAGGGAGAGGUGUCUCUGUUCCCUCUUUUGGAACCGGUAGUUUUGCAACAGAUGGAAGCAGUACCGCGUGGCCCGUCAUGGGUCGGGGCUCCGCGCCCCGUCCCGGAUGCUGCUGUAGGAAGCCCGUCCGUGUGAGGGGCCAGGACAGUCCAGCCGCAGACCCAGCUGAGGUCCCAGCCAGUGAAGUGCUGACGGCAGGAGACGCCCACAGAUGACCCAAAUCUUCCCGAUGAAGCCACGGAGUCCUCAUACAGCCCAGGCCUGCGGCUUCUUGUGCAGGCAAGCGUCCUCUGAAGCAGCUCAGUCGGCCCUUUGGUCGAGGUGGACGCCAGCCUGGCCUCAGCUGCUCCCUGCUGCCCCUGGAUGCACUCCCUCCCCGACUCUGGGUGGUGGCUGGACCCCGGAACCUUCUGGUGCAGAACCUUCCUUGGUAUCUGAGGUUGACGACGUGCCCUGGGGGCUGCAGAAUCCCCCUCCCCCAAGAAAGGCGGGGCUUCCUACCAGUCUCUGGUCAGGAAGGGACUCCCACCCAGGCCUAGGGCCAUGCAGUCUGGGCCUGGGGCUAGCCCCUCACAACUGUCCAUCCAUGUCAAACUCCCAUAUCCGUAACGUCCUGGGAAUUUUUGAGAAACCCCCCUCUUCCCUCGCAUUCGACCAAGCCAGAGCCUGACGCCAAGACCCCAGGAAGGUGAGUCCUGGCUUCUCCUCUCCUGUCAAAGGACCUGCCAGGGGCCGUCCUCAGGCACACCUCCCUGUCCUGUAUCGGGACUCUCCUCAGGCCAGGCCCUGUCUCUCAGUAGGGGACAGGCUCUGGGUCAGCUGUUCCUGCCCAGGCAGUCUCAACAUCAAAGCUACGGUGACGGUCCAUGUGCACCCAUCACGCUGAGCUCAGCUCUGUGAACAGGUGGAGGGGAGGCCAGCUUGAGCACCGCUGCCUGAUCAAGUGGCCUGUGAGUCCCUAGGCCUGAGGAGGGCAUUGCUCAACGGAGAGAAACAGCUCAGGUGGUGGGGAGAGGCAGUGUGCCCACAGGCCCCUCCCCAGAGGGCUGCUUGAUGGGCAGGUGUGCACACAGGUGUGCAGGGCCCUGGGCAGGGCUGCUCCACUCCAGGCUCUGGGUCCUCAUCAGGGAAGUGGUGGUGGCCUGCCCACCCCCUGGGGAGGACACUGGAGCUGCCCCUGGGACCUCUGGUAAGCAGGACAGAGCUGGAGGCUGAGGCCCUGAGCUCAGAUGUGAGGAGCUGGGUAGGAACCCAGGGCAAGCGGUAGCUCUGCUGACGGGGCUGAAGGCCCCGCGUGUGCCCUGUCCUCCCCGCAGUCUCCCACCCCUUAGGGUGCCUGGCCCAGGGCUGCUUGUCCUGGUCUGGUCCCUUUGGGACAUGCUCCAGCCUUUCUCCCCAAACCAAGGGAUGCAGCUUCUGGGAGGACGUGGCGACUUGAGUGCAGGGUGGGCCCAAGGCCCUGCUCUGGCUGCUCUGUGCUCCCCAGUGCCUUCUGCUCAGUCCUGGGGGUCCUGUGGGAAGACGGGCAGCUCUGUGAACAGGCAGGCGGAGGAGAGGCCAGGUUGAGCACUGCUGCCUGACUUGGUGUUCCCCUACCCAGGGUGCCUCCUGUCCCCCGAGGGCUGGGCAGGCCCUGGAGCUGGGCACCGGGACUGAUGGCCACUUUAUCUCCUGUCUUGGCCCAGCAGCCUGGGCUGGGGUGGCCGGCACACAGCCAGUGCAGCUCAGAGCCUCUCCCCGACCAGCACAUCCGUGGAUGCUUUAACCAGAGGCCAUUAAGCUGUCACAGUGCUCGCAAGCCUUCCUGCUGGUGCCUGAUGGCGGAUGUGGGCAGGGUGCCUCCGGUUCCCGUCUCUCCCUCCGGGUUGAGUCACCCACCGCUGUCCUGCCAGACUGCCUGCGCCGACUCUGAGCUCAUCGGCUCCGCCAUCAAUCAUCCCUCUGGGUUGGAGCGUGGAGGAGACUGGGUCUGACAAGGACUUUGCUGCUGAGGCGGAGCUCAGCCACGCUAGACGGGCCCGGUCCACCCCCACCAAGCCCCAGCCAGCUGUGCCUCCACUGGCACAUCUCCUGUGGCCAUGGCAGGGACCUGGUCCUGAGGGAGGUGCCCUUCUCGCCACUGUCCAGGAUGUAGUGGGCUAGCAGCCCCCUCCCCCUGCACCUGAGGGCGUCACCCCAUUGCGGCACAGGAGGAAGUCAUCAUGUUGACGUGUGGCAUGUGCAUCUUGCUCUCCCUGGCCUGGCGUCCAGCCCCAGCUUCCCCCACCUGACAGAGGACAGCACAGUCAGAGCCCAGCUGCUCAUGGCCCUCCCAGCUCCCAGGCUGGGCACUGCCUCCUGCCUGGCACAGAGCCGAGGGCCACACUCGCUCUUGUGGCUCAUGAAGCUCUCCACCAGGGACCCUGCAGGAGCCAGAGAGGGGGUGUCUUAUGCACAGGCUCUGGCUCUGGCCGACCCUCGGAGCCACUAACUCUGAGCAGGGUCUGGAGACGUCACAAACAGCUUCUGAGCAGACAGGGGGUGGGGGGGGGUGGAACUCAGCAGAGCAGCCGCACUGAUUUCAGGUGUUUUGCUUGUGGCUUUGCUGCAGGGGGAGCCCCAUCUAGGUCACAGCACCAGGGAAGAAUAUUAGGACGGAGCCCCACUUUCCUGGCCAGAAGCGGCAGGAAAAGGAUUGGGGGUCCUGGGAGGGAGAGAGCCAGACAGGUUCUGAGUAGGACCCAGGCAAGCCCCCUGGUGGGACCAACAGCCCAGCAAAGCUCUGAGAACUGAUCUGGAGUUUGAGCCACCACCACAGAGGUGAUGGGAUUCAGGUGACCUGGCUGUCCCAACUACGCAUCAGCAUUCUCUAGAAGAUAGGACAGGACCAGAGUCUGUGCAGCAUGAUACCCACAGUGUCCAGGCUAUGAAACAAAACUACCCAACAAACAGAGCUAGGAGACAUGACCACCUCAAGAGGAAAGGCAAUGACAAGAUGGCAGCCCAGAGCAUCCCAGACACUGACCGCAGCGGUCACGGCUGCACUUUGUGAGGUAGUAUGCGCUCUACACACACACACACACUCACACACACACUCACACACACAUACACACUCACACACAUACACACACACACACACACACACUCACACACACAUACACACUCACACACAUAUACACUCACACACAUACAUACACACACUCACACACACACUCACACACACAUACACACACUCAUGCACACACACUCACACACACAUACACACACUCACACUGAUGAAUGAAUGCAAUAUGAAAUGAAGAAUUCUCAGCAGAGAAAUAGGAAAUAUAAGAAAUGAGUAUUUUAGAACUAAAAACCCCCACAAUAUCUGCAGUAAAAUAUUCACUGAUGAGUUCAAUAGCAGAACAGAGACAAAAGAGAAAAGCCCAUGAACUUGAAGAUCGGUACCUGAUCUGAAGAGGAGAUAGAAAGAAGUAGGUGAGCAAGCCUCAGGGGCCAGAUGCACCAUCAAAAUCCAGCCCAUGUUGGGCUCCAGAAAGAGGAGCAAGAUUGGGGCAGAAGGUUAUUUGAAAGGAUAACCCCAGAGCAUCCCCAGUGAGCGAGAAGACGUCACUUUAACAUCCAGAACUCCCUGAGGCCGGCAAGGAAAACCUCCCUCCCAAACCUCAUCAUUGAGCCACAGAAAACCUCCUGAAGGCAGCUGAGAAAACACAUGCAUUCCUUCACACAGAAGAUGUCCCCAUGACUGCAGAUUUCCUGGCAGACACGGGAGGCCCGAGGAGAGUGGAACCACCUCAGAUAACAGCUCUCAGUGUCCUAGGCUUCUGUCCCCUGCUUCUCAAGGGCUGAGUGCACAACCAAAACUCAAACACAGUAUCCUCUUCUGCUCUACAGGUCUGCAGUCGGAACCAUGUCCCUUUCAAUUUCCAUAUUGUAACGUGCAUGUCCUCUCUUAGUUUCUUUCUCUUUUAAAUACAUAUUUUUUUAAAUAUUUA